rnacentral:rRNA from 1 species
CUGCUGCCUUCCGUAGGAGUUUGGGCCGUGUCUCAGUCCCAAUGUGGCCGAUCAACCUCUCAAUUCGGCUACGCAUCAUUGCCUUGGUAAGCCUUUACCCUACCAACUAGCUAAUGCGCCGCGGGCCCAUCCAAAAGCGGUAGUAUAGCCACCUUUUACAUAGUUACCAUGCGGUAACUAUGGUUAUGCGGUAUUAGCACCUGUUUCCAAGUGUUAUCCCCCUCUUUUGGGCAGGUUGCCCACGUGUUACUCACCCGUUCGCCACU